CCACAAAAACUUCACCCACAAAAGCUUCACCCAUAAAAGCUUUACCAACAAAAGCACCCACAAAAGCUUCAUCCACCAUAAAAGCUUCACCACAAAAGCUUCACCCACCACAAAAGCUUCACCCAUAAAAGCUUCACCUAGAAAAGCUUUGUUUGUACUAUACUUAGGGCCUUCGUAUUUAGACCUCGUAUAAAUACUCGGGGGACUCAAAUGUAAUUAUGUAAUAAAGGAAGGGGCAAAUAUGUAAAAAGGGGAGGAGCCUUUAUUCUAUAAAAGUGCCUCUUCAUCCUCACAAACCCUAAGCCUCUCCUAUCUAGAGCAAAGCUCUCAAGCUCUUCUUCCCUCACAAUCUUCUCAGAAAUACAAUAUCAGUGUGGACGUAGCCCAAACCUUGGGUGAACCACGAUACAUCUUGUGUUAUUUACAUUACUUGCAUAUUCACGGUCGGAUUUACGUUGUCCCAAGACUUCCGGUUUUGUGCAUUAACAUUUGACGACUUCUGUGGGAAACGACACGAAAAGUUAUGUCGGUUCUCUCUCAAUUUUUCACCUCCACCAUGAAUCUGCAAAACCCAAGAGCCCAAAACCUCACUUUUGGAUUUUUUCCAUAAAACCUUCAAUCUCUAUCUCUCUGGGUUUUAUUUAUUGGUGUUGUACUUGGUGCAUUUCUGAAAAAGUCGCUCACAAGCAGCAGCUCUCUGAUUCCCAUCAAAUCUACCUUCCUCCAGGGCCAGUCUCUCUCUUUUUCCUGCUUCCACGACACCACCAACCCCUCACCCAUCAAAUCAAUCAAACCCUAAGCAUUUUCAAGAAAUCCAAGAAUUAAAAAAAAACACAGUUCCUUCCU
rnacentral:lncRNA from 1 species